rnacentral:rRNA from 1 species
UGGGGAAUAUUGCACAAUGGGGGAAACCCGUACGAUGCAGCGACGCCGCGUGGAGGAAGAAGGUCUUCGGAUUGUAAACUCCUGUUGUUGAGGAAGAUAAUGACGGUACUCAACAAGGAAGUGACGGCUAACUACGUGCCAGCAGCCGCGGUAAUACGUAGGUGGCAAGCGUUGUCCGGAUUUACUGGGUGUAAAGGGCGUGUAGGCGGGAGAGCAAGUCAGAAGUGAAAUCUAUGGGCUUAACCCAUAAACUGCUUUUGAAACUGUUUUUCUUGAGUAUCGGAGAGGCAGGCGGAAUUCCUAGUGUAGCGGUGAAAUGCGUAGAUAUUAGGAGGAACACCAGUGGCGAAGGCGGCCUGCUGGACGACAACUGACGCUGAGGCGCGAAAGCGUGGGGAGCAAACAGGAUUAGAUA